rnacentral:rRNA from 1 species
UGGGGAAGUGAAACAUCUCAGUACCCACAGGAAGAGAAAGCAAACGCGAUUCCGUUAGUAGUGGCGAGCGAAAGCGGAUGAGGCUAAACCGUUAAUGUGCCAAGCCGGCAGGCAUUGCAUUAGCGGUGUUGAGGGACCAAACAGGAUUAACUGCCGUUGAUCUAGCAAGUCAGAAAGUAAAGAUGUAGGUGAACGACGUGGGAAAGUCGGGCGAAGUAGGUGAGACCCCUGUAACCGAAACAUCUUUAUCUUGCGAUUGGUAUCCCAAGUAAUACCGGACUCGUGAAAUCCGGUAUGAAUCCGGCGGGACCACCCGCUAAGCCUAAAUAUUCUCUGGUGACCGAUAGUGAACGAGUACCGUGAGGGAAAGGUGAAAAGAACCCCGCAAGGGGAGUGAAAUAGAAUCUGAAACCGUCUGCAUACAAGCCGUUGGAGCUACUUUAAGUAGUGACAGCGUGCCUUUUGAAGAAUGAGUCUACGAGUUAGUGUCAUGUGGCGAGGUUAACCGGUCGACGGGGAGCCGUAGCGAAAGCGAGUCUGAAUAGGGCGAGAUAGUCGCAUGAUCUAAACCCGAAGCGAGGUGAUCUAGGCAUGGUCAGGUUGAAGCGUGGGUAAGACUGCGUGGAGGACCGAACCCACAAACGUUGAAAAGUUUGGGGAUGAACUGUGGUUAGGGGUGAAAGGCCAAUCAAACUUCGUGAUAGCUGGUUCUCUCCGAAAUGCAUUUAGGUGCAGCGUUACGUGUUUCUUACUGGAGGUAGAGCUACUGGAUGGCCGAGGGGACCUACAAGUUUACCAACGUCAGCCAAACUCCGAAUGCCAGUAAGUGAGAACGUAGCAGUGAGACAGUGGGGGAUAAGCUUCAUUGUCGAGAGGGAAACAACCCAGAACAGCAACUAAGGUCCCAAAGCGUGUGCUAAGUGGAAAAGGAUGUGAAGUCGCAUAGACAACCAGGAUGUUGGCUUAGAAGCAGCCACCAUUAAAAGAGUGCGUAAUAGCUCACUGGUCAAGUGAUUUCGCGCCGACAAUGUAACGGGGCUCAAGCACAGCACCGAAGUUCUGUCAUUCACACACUAUCCCGGUCGCAAGAUCCAGGAGUGUGGAUGGGUAGGAGAGCGUUGUGUAACUAGUGAAGCGGCGGAGGAAUCCAGCCGUGGAAGUUACACAAGUGAGAAUGUAGACAUGAGUAGCGAAAGACGGGUGAGAAACCCGUCCACCGAAUGACCAAGGGUUCCUGAGCCAGGCUAAUCCGCUCAGGGUAAGUCGGGUCCUAAGGCGAGGCCGACAGGCGUAGUCGAUGGACAACUGGUUGAUAUUCCAGUACCCACAAUAAACCGACCGUGACGAAUCAAUAAUGCUAAGUGUUUGAAGUUGGCUAGCAAUAGCUGAUGGAGCGCACGACCCAAGUUGGUAGUAGUCAAGCAAUGGAGAGACGCAGGAAGGUAGUCCAACCCAGGCGAUGGUUGACCUGGGGUAAGAGUGUAGGAGGUUCUGUAGGCAAAUCCGCAGAACAAUCUCUGAGACUUAAUGCCGAGCCGUAAGGCGAAGUGGAUGAUCCUAUGCUGCCAAGAAAAUCUUUAAACGGCGGUGGUAACUAUAACCAUCCUAAGGUAGCGAAAUUCCUUGUCGGGUAAGUUCCGACCUGCACGAAUGGCGUAACGACUUGAGCGCUGUCUCCACCAUGAACUCGGCGAAAUUGCAGUACGAGUAAAGAUGCUCGUUACGCGCGGAAAGACGGAAAGACCCCGGGACCUUUACUAUAUCUUGAUAUUGGUACUCGGAACGUUCUGUGUAGCAUAGGUGGGAGACUUUGAAGCGGCACGCCAGUGUUCGUGGAGUCAAAAAUUGAAAUACCACUCUGAACGUUUUGAGUUUCUAACCUCGGCCCAUUAUCUGGGUCAGGGACAGUGUCUGGUGGGUAGUUUAACUGGGGCGGUUGCCUCCCAAAAAGUAACGGAGGCGCUCAAAGGUUCCCUCAGCCUGGUUGGUAAUCAGGUGUCGAGUGUAAGUGCACAAGGGAGCUUAACUGUGAGACAGACAUGUCAAGCAGGUGCGAAAGCAGGAACUAGUGAUCCGGCGGUGGCUUGUGGAAGCGCCGUCGCUCAACGGAUAAAAGGUACCCCGGGGAU